AAUUCGAUUAGUUUGAUCCUGGCUCAGAGCGAACGCUGGCGGCAGGCCUAAUACAUGCAAGUCGAACGCACUCUUCGGAGUGAGUGGCAGACGGGUGAGUAACGCGUGGGAACCUUCCCAAUGGUACGGAAUAACUCCGGGAAACCGGUGCUAAUACCGUAUAAGCCCCUCGGGGGAAAGAUUUAUCGCCAUUGGAUGGGCCCGCGUCGGAUUAGCUAGUUGGUAAGGUAAUGGCUUACCAAGGCUACGAUCCGUAGCUGGUCUGAGAGGAUGAUCAGCCACACUGGGACUGAGACACGGCCCAGACUCCUACGGGAGGCAGCAGUAGGGAAUCUUGGACAAUGGGCGAAAGCCUGAUCCAGCCAUGCCGCGUGAGUGAAGAAGGCCUUAGGGUUGUAAAGCUCUUUUGGCGGGGACGAUAAUGACGGUACCCGCAGAAUAAGCCCCGGCUAACUUCGUGCCAGCAGCCGCGGUAAUACGAAGGGGGCUAGCGUUGUUCGGAAUUACUGGGCGUAAAGCGCACGCAGGCGGAUUGAUUAGUCGGGGGUGAAAUCCCGGGGCUCAACCUCGGAAUUGCCUUCGAUACUGUCAGUCUUGAGUCCGGGAGAGGUGAGUGGAAUUCCUAGUGUAGAGGUGAAAUUCGUAGAUAUUAGGAAGAACACCAGUGGCGAAGGCGGCUCACUGGCCCGGUACUGACGCUCAUGUG
rnacentral:rRNA from 1 species